GAUGAACGCUGGCGGCAUGCCUUACACAUGCAAGUCGAACGGCAGCAUGGAGAGCUUGCUCUCUGAUGGCGAGUGGCGAACGGGUGAGUAAUGCAUCGGAACGUACCGUGUAAUGGGGGAUAACGUAGCGAAAGUUACGCUAAUACCGCAUACGACCUGAGGGUGAAAGCAGGGGAUCGCAAGACCUUGCGUUAUACGAGCGGCCGAUGUCAGAUUAGCUAGUUGGUGAGGUAAAGGCUCACCAAGGCGACGAUCUGUAGCGGGUCUGAGAGGAUGAUCCGCCACACUGGGACUGAGACACGGCCCAGACUCCUACGGGAGGCAGCAGUGGGGAAUUUUGGACAAUGGGGGCAACCCUGAUCCAGCGACGCCGCGUGAAGGAUGAAGGUCUUCGGAUUGUAAACUUCUUUUGAUGGGGAUGAAUGCCUGCGUGAAUAGCGCAGGGUGACAGUACCCGUUGAAUAAGCCACGGCUAACUACGUGCCAGCAGCCGCCGUAA
rnacentral:rRNA from 1 species